AUUGAACGCUGGCGGCAGGCCUAACACAUGCAAGUCGAACGAGUGGCGGACGGGUGAGUAAUGUCUGGGAAUCUGCCCGAUGGAGGGGGAUAACUACUGUAAACGGUAGCUAAUACCGCAUACCAUCGGAUGUGCCCAGCUGGGAGUAGCUAGUAGGUGGGGUAACGGCUCACCUAGGCGACGCUCCCUAGCUGGUCUGAGAGGAUGACCGGCCAAACUGGAACUGAGACACGGUCCAGACUCCUACGUGAGGCAGCAGUGGGGAAUAUUGCACAAUGGGCGCAAGCCUGAUGCAGCCAUGCCGCGUGUAUGAAGAAGGCCUUCGGGUUGUAAAGUACUUUCAGCGAGGAGGCGGUACUCGAAGAAGAAGCACCGGCUAACUCCGUGCCAGCAGCCGCGGUAAUAC
rnacentral:rRNA from 1 species